rnacentral:misc_RNA from 1 species
AAGUCGUAACAAGGUUUCCGUAGGUGAACCUGCGGAAGGAUCACUAGUGAUUAAAUCGAGCGUGUCUUCAUUGACCGCUCACCCUUCUCACCAUCCACAUACACCUGUGCACUGUUUAGCCUGAACCGGUUUCGGUUCAGGUUAUCAUUUCAUACAAACUCUAGUCUUAUGAAUGUAAACGUUUUAAUAACAUAAUAAAACUUUCAACAACGGAUCUCUUGGUUCUCGC